UCACAGAAGGCUGUUCCUUUGCCCGUUGUGACUCUAGUCCUGUUGGAUCCCCCACCCCACCUUCUAGAUUGAACGCACUAAAUUCCCAUUUGUAGGAUCAGACCUGCCAUCCGGGGCCACCAAUCUCCACCAGAGCCCUGCUUCCUUGAACCUGUCCCCAAACCACCUGACACACCCUGGUCCUGACCCACAAGCUGAACUGUCCCUGAGCAGCCCGUGUCGUCUUUGAAGUCCUCGCAGACACCCUCUGAUGCUCACCCUGGCGUCACCUCUCGCUGCCUUCCUCGGACCUUUGCCCCUCCCCCGCCUGCGGACCUCAAACCUAUGAAAGCCCCUUUUACCCAGGACCCACGGGUCUGCCCUGUCCCAUGGAGGGCAUCCUCGGAGGAUGCUCCGGCAACACAGAGGAGUGGUGCAGGCUAACAGUGGCCGGAUCCUCUGCAGUGGCCCCCUUCCGGCUCCCUGGCCGAGCAAGGGGUCUACAAAUGGAAACUCCCUCGCCCCCUGGCCAGCUGCAUCGGUGUGGGUCCAUCCCAGGGACCCCAAGGUCCUUCCAAGCCCAUGGCUGCUAAUUGCAGAUAAUGCAUUAAAAAUACAGAUCCGCAUCUGUUCGCUUGAA